CUGCGGUGAUGAGACCUCCGCGCUGAGCGCGGCGCUGAAGCGCACACACGAGCUUUUUAACCCUGAGCAGC